CCUGGCUGUUUCUUGCCAAUAAAUUUCAAGCUAAGGGUAUUAGGGACUUUUGACAAAAUCUCCCAAGUAACGUGUCUGCAAACCUGCAAUUAAACAGCCACGUAUCUUUCUGCUCUCUCCGACUCUUAACAUCUUUUUUGGUCUCUCCUCCCGUGUAUGCAAGCCAAUUCCAAUCUGGAAUAUUCUUGGCAUAACCCACUGUAUUCAAAGGAAUCAACCAUUAACAAUGCACAGAGAAAGAGUGAUACAGAAAUAAUCCACCAUAGCCAAAGCGUAGCAACGAGAUCAAGAACCCAAAUAUGCGUUGUUUUCCUUGAAGCCAGAAUUUGAUAGAGCAGAAACAGUUCAUGGAUUACUAUUCUCUUGAUUUCUCAGUUGCAUAUCCAUUAUUAAUCUUUUUGUUUCUGUUGUUUGCGCGUUUCUCCAAUUUUUUGGGUUGCACCUCCUUAUUUUUGAUGCUUUUGUUGUUUUAUUUAUUUCAUCUUCUUUGUUUCAGUUUUCAAUGGCCUAUGGGUUGUGGUACCUAUCUGUUCCUCUGUCUGCACAUCAUCUUUUAAGUACCGCACUAUUUUAUUUCUUCUUAACUUCUUGGUAGUUUAUGUAAUUAUAAAUAUUGUCUAAUUAUUUGAGUUACUUUUUUGCUUUUGA